rnacentral:tRNA from 1 species
CGAGGGGUGGCUCGACAGCAGUAAAGAUUGCUAAUCCUUCACCCCCUCGGUUAAACCCCGAGGCUCCCUCGG